rnacentral:rRNA from 1 species
UUCACAUGCAAGUCGACGGCAGCGCGGGGCAACCUGGGGGCGAGUGGGGAACGGGUGAGUAAUAUAUCGGAACGUACCCAAGAGUGGGGGAUAUCGUAUCGAAAGUUACGCUAAUACCGCAUACGAUCUAAGGAUGAAAGUGGGGGAUCGCAAGACCUCAUGCUCCUGGAGCGGCCGAUAUCUGAUUAGCUAGUUGGUGAGGUAAAGGCUCACCAAGGCGACGAUCAGUAGCUGGUCUGAGAGGACGACCAGCCACACUGGAACUGAGACACGGUCCAGACUCCUACGGGAGGCAGCAGUGGGGAAUUUUGGACAAUGGGCGCAAGCCUGAUCCAGCAAUGCCGCGUGAGUGAAGAAGGCCUUCGGGUUGUAAAGCUCUUUUGUCAGGGAAGAAACGGUAGAGGCUAAUAUCCUUUGCUAAUGACGGUACCUGAAGAAUAAGCACCGGCUAACUACGUGCCAGCAGCCGCGGUAAUACGUAUGGUGCAAGCGUUAAUCGGAAUUACUGGGCGUAAAGCGUGCGCAGGCGGUUUUGUAAGUCUGUCGUGAAAGCCCCGGGCUCAACCUGGGAAUUGCGAUGGAGACUGCAAGGCUUGAAUCUGGCAGAGGGGGGUAGAAUUCCACGUGUAGCAGUGAAAUGCGUAUAGAUGUGGAGGAACACCGAUGGCGAAGGCAGCCCCCUGGGUCAAGAUUGACGCUCAUGCACGAAAGCGUGUGGAGCAAACAGGAUUAUAUACCCUGGUAGUCCACGCCCUAAACGAUGUCUACUAGUUGUCGGGUUUUAAUUAACUUGGUAACGCAGCUAACGCGUGAAGUAGACCGCCUGGGGGAGUACGGUCGCAAGAUUAAUAACUCACAGGAAUUGACGGGGACCACGCACAAGCGGGUGGGAUGAUGAUGGAUUAAUUUCUAUGCAACGCGAAAAAACCCUUUACC